rnacentral:rRNA from 1 species
GAUGAACGCUGGCGGCGUGCCUAAUACAUGCAAGUCGAGCGAACGGACGAGAAGCUUGCUUCUCUGAUGUUAGCGGCGGACGGGUGAGUAACACGUGGAUAACCUACCUAUAAGACUGGGAUAACUUCGGGAAACCGGAGCUAAUACCGGAUAAUAUUUUGAACCGCAUGGUUCAAAAGUGAAAGACGGUCUUGCUGUCACUUCUAGAUGGAUCCGCGCUGCAUUAGCUAGUUGGUAAGGUAACGGCUUACCAAGGCAACGAUGCAUAGACGACCUGAGAGGGUGAUCGGCCACACUGGAACUGAGACACGGUCCAGACUCCUACGGGAGGCAGCAGUAGGGAAUCUUCCGCAAUGGGCGAAAGCCUGACGGAGCAACGCCGCGUGAGUGAUGAAGGUCUUCGGAUCGUAAAACUCUGUUAUUAGGGAAGAACAUAUGUGUAAGUAACUGUGCACAUCUUGACGGUACCUAAUCAGAAAGCCACGGCUAACUACGUG